rnacentral:rRNA from 1 species
GACGAACGCUGGCGGCGUGCCUAAUACAUGCAAGUAGAACGCUGAAGGAGGAGCUUGCUCUUCUGGAUGAGUUGCGAACGGGUGAGUAACGCGUAGGUAACCUGCCUGGUAGCGGGGGAUAACUAUUGGAAACGAUAGCUAAUACCGCAUAACAGUAGAUGUUGCAUGACAUUUGCUUAAAAGGUGCAAUUGCACCACUACCAGAUGGACCUGCGUUGUAUUAGCUAGUUGGUGGGGUAACGGCUCACCAAGGCGACGAUACAUAGCCGACCUGAGAGGGUGAUCGGCCACACUGGGACUGAGACGCGGCCCAGACUCCUACGGGAGGCAGCAGUAGGGAAUCUUCGGCAAUGGACGGAAGUCUGACCGAGCAACGCCGCGUGAGUGAAGAAGGUUUUCGGAUCGUAAAGCUCUGUUGUAAGAGAAGAACGAGUGUGAGAGUGGAAAGUUCACACUGUGACGGUAGCUUACCAGAAAGGGACGGCUAACUACGUG